GUUGGCUAUGGGGACAUGUACCCCCUCACCAUAGGUGGCAAAAUAGUUGGUUCCCUGUGUGCCAUAGCAGGUGUGUUGACCAUUGCUCUCCCAGUCCCAGUUAUCGUUUCUAAU